UGCCUUUGAUACUGAAAGACUUGAGUUAUUGUGAAGUAGUUAGAAUGUGUGGUGUAGCGGUGAAAUGCAUAGAGAUCACACAGAAUACCGAUUGCGAAGGCAGAUUACUAACAAUAUACUGACGCUGAGGGACGAAAGCGUGGGUAGCGAACAGGAUUAGAUACCCUGGUAGUCCACGCCGUAAACGAUGGAUACUAGCUGUUCGACCAACAUUGGUUGGUUGAGUGGCUAAGCGAAAGUGAUAAGUAUCCCACCUGGGGAGUACGGUCGCAAGACUGAAACUCAAAGGAAUUGACGGGGGCCCGCACAAGCGGUGGAGCAUGUGGUUUAAUUCGAUGAUACGCGAGGAACCUUACCAGGGCUUAAAUGUAAGUUGCAUGAUUUAGAGAUAGAUCUUUCUUCGGACUACUUACAAGGUGCUGCAUGGUUGUCGUCAGCUCGUGCCGUGAGGUGUCAGGUUAAGUCCUAUAACGAGCGCAACCCCUGUCGUUAGUUGCCAGCAAGUUAAGUUGGGCACUCUAGCGAGACUGCCAGUGCAAACUGUGAGGAAGGUGGGGAUGACGUCAAAUCAUCACGGCCCUUACGUCCUGGGCUACACACGUGCUACAAUGGUCGGUACAGAGAGCAGCCACUACGCGAGUAGGAGCGAAUCUAUAAAACCGAUCUCAGUUCGGAUCGCAGUCUGCAACUCGACUGCGUGAAGCUGGAAUCGCUAGUAAUCGGAUAUCAGCCAUGAUCCGGUGAAUACGUUCCCGGGCCUUGUACACACCGCCCGUCAAGCCAUGGAAGCUGGGAGUACCUGAAGUCGGUUACCGCAAGGAGCUGCCUAGGGUAAAACUGGUAACUGGGGCUAAGUCGUAACAAGGUA
rnacentral:rRNA from 1 species